rnacentral:lncRNA from 1 species
CUCAAAUCCCCGGAAGGCGAGCCAAAUAAGCACUAAGUGAUGCUGGGGGUUGUAGUUUAUUGUUUACAUAGGGGUAAAUUGAGAAGUCUUGGGACGCGAGAGGCCAGGCUCUGUGAGGACCUCGAAGAUGCUGGGUUCUAGCUCUAAAGGUGGUAAGGAAGGAGACCAAUGAACCCCAGAACAGGGAGAGGUGAGAGAACAAGGAUGCUACCCUGUCCCCAAGCCUCCCAUGCUCUCCUACCAACAGACAAAAACUUCAUGGGGGCAGCAGGAGCUUCAGGGAACUAUGAACAGUGACCUUCUGACACCAAAGAGCGGGAGGAACAUCUCCCACAGGUUGAACUGAAUUAAGCAACUGAGAAGAGGAGUCAAGAUGAGUCUGGAAGAGGGGCCAAGUAGCCAGUUUUUCUGCAGACUGCUGACCAGUCGCCCUGCCCCUGCCCUCCAUCCCACACCUCUCAGGACGGUGAUAAGGAUGACACCACAAUAACUAACCUUGACUGAGUGCUCCUUCGACAGCAGCCACCGCCCCAAGUACUUUAUGUGGAUGCUCCCAUCUAAUCCUCACACUGACACUGUGGGUGACAGACUGUAUCCCCAUUUACUGAUGAGGACACUGCUGCUGACCGAACUUCCUGAAGGAGGGACCACCUCUGAGCUUUGCAUCCUG